rnacentral:rRNA from 1 species
GGGCUCGUGUCGAGAUUCGGGGCACCUCCCACCCGUGUUGCCCGAACCUAUGUUGCCUCGGCGGGCCCCGCGCCCGCCGACGGCCCCCCUGAACGCUGUCUGAAGUUGCAGUCUGAGACCUAUAACGAAAUUAGUUAAAACUUUCAACAACGGAUCUCUUGGUUCCGGCAUCGAUGAAGAACGCAGCGAAAUGCGAUAACUAAUGUGAAUUGCAGAAUUCAGUGAAUCAUCGAGUCUUUGAACGCACAUUGCGCCCUCUGGUAUUCCGGAGGGCAUGCCUGUCCGAGCGUCAUUGCUGCCCUCAAGCCCGGCUUGUGUGUUGGGCCCCGUCCCCCCCGCCGGGGGGACGGGCCCGAAAGGCAGCGGCGGCACCGCGUCCGGUCCUCGAGCGUAUGGGGCUUCGUCACCCGCUCUAGUAGGCCCGGCCGGCGCCAGCCGACCCCCAACCUUUAAUUAUCUCAGGUUGACCUCGGAUCAGGUAGGGAUACCCGCUGAACUUAAGCAUAUCAAUAAGCGGAGGAA